GAGACGGGACCCUCUGCUUUGUCCUCCUGCUGUGCUGCUGGCAAGAAGUGAAGACCUGGCCAAUAAGAAUGAAUUCAGGUUCAAGUUCUGGACUGCCGUCAAGUUAGUCAAGUUUUAAAAAUAUGGAUGACGAUAUGACCACAGUAUUUGGGCUCUGCAGGUGAUGCUAAAGUACAGCCGGCUGAGAACUGCUGCCCUGGGCCAGGGCCGUCCAAUAGAAACACAGCAUGAGCCGAAGAUGUGCUUUUCAUUGUCUAGUGGCCACAUUAAAAAGAUGCAGA
rnacentral:lncRNA from 1 species